CCUACGGGAGGCUGCAGUAGGGAAUAUUGCUCAAUGGGGGAAACCCUGAAGCAGCAACGCCGCGUGGAGGAUGAAGGUUUUCGGAUUGUAAACUCCUUUUGUUAGAGAAGAUAAUGACGGUAUCUAACGAAUAAGCACCGGCUAACUCCGUGCCAGCAGCCGCGGGAAUACGGAGGGUGCAAGCGUUACUCGGAAUUACUGGGCGUAAAGAGCGCGUAGGCGGGAUAGCAAGUCAGAUGUGAAAUCCUAUGGCUUAACCAUAGAACUGCAUUUGAAACUGUUAUUCUAGAGUAUGGGAGAGGUAGGUGGAAUUCUUGGUGUAGGGGUAAAAUCCGUAGAGAUCAAGAGGAAUACUCAUUGCGAAGGCGACCUGCUAGAACAUAACUGACGCUGAUGCGCGAAAGCGUGGGGAGCAAACAGGAUUAGAUACCCGAGUAGUC
rnacentral:rRNA from 1 species